GCGCUCAUAGCACAAAUGGAUAGGGCAGCACACUACGAAUGUGAAGGUUUGAGGUUCGAGUCCUCAUGGGCGCACCA
rnacentral:tRNA from 1 species